GGGCAUAUAGCUCAGUUGGUUAGAGCUAUCGGCUCAUAACCGAUCGGUCGCUGGUUCGAGUCCAGCUAUGCCCA
rnacentral:tRNA from 1 species